rnacentral:rRNA from 2 species
CUCCUGGGAAGUCCUCGUGUUGCACCCA